rnacentral:misc_RNA from 1 species
ACAAACUUGGUCAUUUAGAGGAAGUAAAAGUCGUAACAAGGUUUCCGUAGGUGAACCUGCGGAAGGAUCAUUAUCGAAAUCAAAGGUCCAGGUUGUAGCUGGCCCUCAGGGGCAUGUGCACGCCUGUGUCCGCAUAUAAAUCCAUCCCAUCCCUGUGCACCUUUGCGUGGGUUCUGUUUGGCUAUUACAGUCAUUCGGACUUGCGUCUUUUUUUACAUUACAAACCUUUUGUAUGUCUUUGAAUGUCAUUUCUUGCGAUAAUCGCAUCUAAUACAACUUUCAACAACGGAUCUCUUGGCUCUCGCAUCGAUGAAGAACGCAGC